CUACGCACUCCUACGGGAGGCAGCAGUGGGGAAUAUUGCACAAUGGGCGCAAGCCUGAUGCAGCCAUGCCGCGUGUAUGAAGAAGGCUUCGGGUUGUAAAGUACUUUCAGCAGUGAGGAAGGUGGAUAUGUUAAUAGCAUAUUCAUUUGACGUUAGCUGCAGAAGAAGCACCGGCUAACUCCGUGCCAGCAGCCGCGGUAAUACGGAGGGUGCGAGCGUUAAUCGGAAUUACUGGGCGUAAAGCGCAUGCAGGUGGUUUGUUAAGUCAGAUGUGAAAGCCCGGGGCUCAACCUCGGAAUUGCAUUUGAAACUGGCAAACUAGAGUACUGUAGAGGGGGUAGAAUUUCAGGUGUAGCGGUGAAAUGCGUAGAGAUCUGAAGGAAUACCGGUGGCGAAGGCGGCCCCCUGGACAGAUACUGACACUCAGAUGCGAAAGCGUGGGGAGCAAACAGGAUUAGAUACCCUGGUAG
rnacentral:rRNA from 1 species